AGAGUUUGAUCAUGGCUCAGGACGAACGCUGGCGGCGUGCUUAACACAUGCAAGUCGAACGGAAAGGCCCUUCGGGGUACUCGAGUGGCGAACGGGUGAGUAACACGUGGGUGAUCUGCCCUGCACUCUGGGAUAAGCCUGGGAAACUGGGUCUAAUACCGGAUAGGACCGCAUGCUUCAUGGUGUGUGGUGCAAAGCUUUUGCGGUGUGGGAUGAGCCCGCGGCCUAUCAGCUUGUUGGUGGGGUAAUGGCCUACCAAGGCGACGACGGGUAGCCGGCCUGAGAGGGUGACCGGCCACACUGGGACUGAGAUACGGCCCAGACUCCUACGGGAGGCAGCAGUGGGGAAUAUUGCACAAUGGGCGCAAGCCUGAUGCAGCGACGCCGCGUGAGGGAUGAUGGCCUUCGGGUUGUAAACCUCUUUCAGUAGGGACGAAGCGAAAGUGACGGUACCUACAGAAGAAGGACCGGCCAACUACGUGCCAGCAGCCGCGGUAAUACGUAGGGUCCGAGCGUUGUCCGGAAUUACUGGGCGUAAAGAGCUCGUAGGUGGUUUGUCGCGUUGUUCGUGAAAACUCACAGCUUAACUGUGGGCGUGCGGGCGAUACGGGCAGACUAGAGUACUGCAGGGGAGACUGGAAUUCCUGGUGUAGCGGUGGAAUGCGCAGAUAUCAGGAGGAACACCGGUGGCGAAGGCGGGUCUCUGGGCAGUAACUGACGCUGAGGAGCGAAAGCGUGGGUAGCGAACAGGAUUAGAUACCCCGGUAGUCCAA
rnacentral:rRNA from 1 species